AUUUAAAUAAUAUAAAAAUUAUAUUUGACUUCCAAUCAGAAAAUCUAGAAUCCUAGUUUAAAUA
rnacentral:tRNA from 1 species